rnacentral:rRNA from 1 species
GACGAACGCUGGCGGCGUGCUUAACACAUGCAAGUCGAGCGGUAAGGCCCUUUCGGGGGUACACGAGCGGCGAACGGGUGAGUAACACGUGGGUGACCUGCCCUCAGCUCUGGGAUAAGCCUGGGAAACCGGGUCUAAUACCGGAUAUGACUCCAUGACGCAUGUUAUGGGGUGGAAAGCCUUGUGCGGCUGAGGAUGGGCCCGCGGCCUAUCAGCUUGUUGGUGGGUGAUGGCCUACCAAGGCGACGACGGUAGCCGGCCUGAGAGGGCGACCGGCCACACUGGGACUGAGACACGGCCCAGACUCCUACGGGA